rnacentral:rRNA from 1 species
UACGAAGGUGGCAAGCGUUGUUCGGAUUUACUGGGCGUACAGGGAGCGUAGGCGGUUGGAUAAGCCCUCCGUGAAAUCUCCAGGCUUAACCUGGAAAGUGCAGAGGGGACUGUUCAGCUAGAGGAUGGGAGAGGAGCGCGGAAUUCCCGGUGUAGCGGUGAAAUGCGUUGAGAUCGGAAGGAACGCCCGUGGCGAAAGCGAGAUCCUGGACGUCUUCUGACGCUGAGACGCGAAAGCUAGGGGAGCAAACGGG